UUUGGAGACUGUCCUAUGGUCCAGGUGGAGAACACACUGUCCAUUCACCUGGCACACAAACUGCCGCACCUAAAGAAAAACAAUGUGAGCUGCUGCAGGGCUUCCAGGGUCAACAGCCUGCACGUAACAGGGAGCCAUGCCUCUGACAACAAAGCCCCAGCCCAGGGCAUCUCCUAUCACCUGUGAUGGCAGGAGGGUGAGAUAAAUUACACAUUCUGUAGAAAUGAACUAUGAGGAGUAUUUUAAUUUUGUCCCUUACUGGCAUCACAGAUGAAUGCUUUAAUUAUCGUCUUUUAGACUUUGUUGUUCAGGUUAUACUAAAUUAAUGCUGUUAAAUCCUAGACAUGACAUGUAACUUCUUAAAUAGCCAUGGUUAAGUCAUUACAGUAACUCACUGUCAACACUCUCUUGAUGAAGGGUGCACCAGGGGCCAAUAACUCUUCACGUGUAAAAUUUCUUCUAAGUACUGAAAAGUCAUUCACAGAUUUCAAUAUUCACCAUUUUUUGUGAGUUUUGGACAAUGAAACACAAGCAAACCUCAAUAUAUGAAAUUCUUCUUUUUUAAAUUAAAGAUACUUUGAAACAAU